AAUAAAAUACCUAAAAUUUCAAAGGAUUACAAUGAUAAAGUAAAUUUAUAAUAAUUUUUUUUUAUUA
rnacentral:tRNA from 1 species